rnacentral:rRNA from 1 species
GCUCCCCACAAGGGUUAGGCCACCGGCUUCGGGUGUUACCCACUUUCGUGACUUGACGGGCGGUGUGUACAAGGCCCGGGAACGUAUUCACCGCAGCGUUGCUGAUCUGCGAUUACUAGCGACUCCAACUUCACGAAGUCGAGUUGCAGACUUCGAUCCGAACUGAGACCGGCUUUUAGGGAUUAGCUCCACCUCACAGUAUCGCAACCCAUUGUACCGGCCAUUGUAGCAUGCGUGAAGCCCAAGACAUAAGGGGCAUGAUGAUUUGACGUCGUCCCCACCUUCCUCCGAGUUGACCCCGGCAGUCUCCCAUGAGUCCCCACCAUAACGUGCUGGCAACAUAGGAUAGGGGUUGCGCUCGUUGCGGGACUUAACCCAACAUCUCACGACACGAGCUGACGACAACCAUGCACCACCUGUGAACCGACCCCGAAGGGAAACUGCAUCUCUGCAGCGGUCCGGUCCAUGUCAAGCCUUGGUAAGGUUCUUCGCGUUGCAUCGAAUUAAUCCGCAUGCUCCGCCGCUUGUGCGGGCCCCCGUCAAUUCCUUUGAGUUUUAGCCUUGCGGCCGUACUCCCCAGGCGGGGCACUUAAUGCGUUAGCUACGGCGCGGAAAACGUGGAAUGUUCCCCACACCUAGUGCCCAACGUUUACGGCAUGGACUACCAGGGUAUCUAAUCCUGUUCGCUCCCCAUGCUUUCGCUCCUCAGCGUCAGUAACAGCCCAGAGACCUGCCUUCGCCAUCGGUGUUCCUCCUGAUAUCUGCGCAUUUCACCGCUACACCAGGAAUUCCAGUCUCCCCUACUGCACUCUAGUCUGCCCGUACCCACUGCACACCCGGGGUUGAGCCCCGGGCUUUCACAGCAGACGUGACAAACCGCCUACGAGCUCUUUACGCCCAAUAAUUCCGGAUAACGCUCGCGCCCUACGUAUUACCGCGGCUGCUGGCACGUAGUUAGCCGGCGCUUCUUCUGCAGGUACCGUCACUUGGCGCUUCUUCCUGCUGAAAGCGGUUACA